UUCCAAAGUGUUGAGUUCAGUUCAGGUAGCUUCCCUGUUCUGUUAUUAAACUUUGGAAAUUGAAACUGGCUUGAUAGAGGUGAUAGAAAUGUACUGUUCUAUUGACUGAUGUCCCAACCUACAAAA
rnacentral:snoRNA from 1 species